CGGCUCCCUGCGGGGAGCCCGAUGCAGGACAGGACCCUAGGACCCAGGGAUCACGCCCUGAGCUGGAGGCAAUGCUCAACCACUGAGCCACCCAGGUGCCCCGGAGGGAGGAUUCUGAUCAGACUUGGGUGUACAAGAUCGGAGGGGCUGCCGAAACACCCACGCUGCAAAAACAAGUCGACAGGGGCCAGUGGCCCCUAGUGUGGUAGCCACUGGCAGGGCUGCCUUCCCUUCGGAGUCCGGGCAGGAGCAGCCCUCCGGCUUCUGCGGACAGCCUUUUCCCGUCCUCUUGGAUGUAUAAAUGCGGGUCGUGUGGCCGAUCUGGUGCAGCUGGAUCACAUUGACGCUAAUGUUUCCCCUCCAGUAAAAAUGGAAAUAUAUUAAAAAAUAAACAACCAAAAAAGACAUGCUGAGUUUAGACCAAAAAUCAAUCAGAAGAGAAAAACACUUGGGCCAGCGUCAAGAGCAACAAAACCGCGCCAGCACAAAUUUUUAUGAAAAUGAUCAUUGAAUAGUAUUUCCAUGAAAAGGCAACUGACUCAGAGACGGAGGGUGAGUGUCCCGUGAGGCAGACCAGAGUCGGAAGGGCCCGCCCACGCCCGAGGCUGACAGCUCCGCUCAAGCACAGUUACUAGAAGUGACCCAACCAUCCCGAAAAUAGGAAAAAAAGUUCACGAGGGAAAAGCCAGAUUCUUAGGCAGGGAGAGAAAUGUGUGUUGUGAAACCAGCACGGCUUGGGAAGAAUCUAGCGCUGCAUUUGAGUCUCUCCUCCCCAGGAGCAGCCCCACAAAUAACCCUCUUGUUCUCCGCUGAGGGCUGCACAGUCCCCGAUGAUCUUCUAGAAGGGCCAACUGGGAGACGACGUUCCUGGAGUGAGGAAGGCGCACGGAUGAAGUCUCUCCCUUAAAUGCUUACCUCCAGCUCGUGGCAGAGGAAGUGUUAUGGUAUUUUCUGCUGGUACACUUCCUUCUGGAACAUCACAAGGCAGCUUGCUUGCAUCUGAGGCAGGAGAUCCAAGUGGUUAUGCACGAGCAUCUCCCAGCUGCCCUGCAGAGCCCUGUGGCUCCCUCCACCCGCCCCCGGGGCCAUCUGUGCCCGCUCCUUGGAAUGUGAAAGGGACUCUUCUACUCAUAGGAAUAUUGUCACGUCGAUUUGCAGAGAGAAAGCCGCCCUGCUAACUGGAGCCAUAUUUUUCGCUGGAAAAGAAGCCAACCACAGCACAGCCCCUGCUUUUUCAUUUCUCUUUCUGGCUUGGCCCUGAUUCAGGCUGGCAUCUCCGACUCCCUGCUGGGUCCAGGGAUGCCACCCGGAGAGGGGAGAGAGCUUGGCUGGGAACACUUGUAGGGGAGAUGUCCAGGCUCACUAACUUUUGUCGAGGGGAGCACAGAAGGGGACUGUGGGUGGUCAUGCCAGUCUCCAGUGACCCCUGCUUUCCAAACCGCUACCCGUGAGUGGUUUCUCUGGGCACUCAGCUGUGGGUCCCCACUUCAGGGGACAGAGUUGGUUAUCCUGUCUCCGUCCCCUGCCCACACAGGCUCAAGCCCUUUGUUUUUUUUCUCAUAUUUUCUUGAAAACUCUCUGAACACAUGGAAUUUAUGUUAACACAUAGUUUAAUUAGUCUUUAACAUUGCUCCCCAAAAAUGGUACUCUGGGAGUUUUCGAAGGAUCUUGCCAGGUACUGAAAAUGGCAAAGCACAGGUGCAAUGGCAACACUCACCAACACGUUGUGGUCCAGGAGAAUCUUCUUUUGACCUUUGGAGCAUUGUUCUUGUGGUUUAGAAUAUUUCAGGAGGGGAUUCAACCGAACCGGUUCUUCUGUUCUUCAGAACACCUAGUUUCUUUGUGUGGUGUCAAGACCUCCGUUUGCCUUUUAAGUAAAGGGACCAGGGCCACUGCACCAUUGGAUGUGGCAUGUGUCAAGCUUAGGAGAAGGAAGAAGUGCGUCCUUGCCCUGUCCCUCUGCCUUCCUGCAUCUUCCCUGGCUGUAGGUGAGGUUCACGGAGUGCAUGCAGGCCCACUGGGUAUGUCCACAAAGAUGUUUCUCCUUCUUCCACUUUGGGUUUUCAUCCUGAGACUGCUAAUUAAACCAUCCCAUAAAUCCUCCAUUAUAGGUAGUCAAACCUAAUUUUAGAUUUCCUGCUUGCUCCGGUGUCCCGCCUGAUUGCUACUAGGGUGGCAAAAAGGCAGGACCUGGGGAGUAGGCUGUUUAAACUGGGCCACGUGUGAAAGCCUUCUUCUCAAAUAUGAACCCAAAGCCUCAUAUUUGGGGUUUGGUUGUAAUUCCUGGAUGGCUUUUAUCUUAAGUUUCAAAAGCUUCUGAAGAUAACUCUUUGAAACACCGCAGCUUGGUUCUUUUUGGUGGACAGCUCUGAUGUAAGGAACCAAGAAGGGGCUUCGGGCAGAGAGUGGGCAUCAGGUGGUUACAGCGAAGGAUAGAGGCAAUGGAAGCCUGCCAUCUUUGCUAAGAACACAAGGCUCUGAUCCCUCUCAGUGGUCUGAAACUCAGCCCCUUUCUCCUGUUGCAAGCUUCUUAAGAAACUGCGUGUAUGUUCCCAAUGUCUAUUAGGACCAGUUCUUCCUACCUACCCCUGUGUCCCCAGUGCUCCAGCAUCUUCCACCAGUGAUGGUGAAUGAUGCAGUGGGGCUGGAAAUGGGAGGGAUCGGGGGUGUGUUUGGGAUUUCCGCAUUGUCUUUCUCACAGUCCCAAAUCUAGGUGCUCCCUUCUCGAGCCUCAGAGUUGGAAUUAAUUAGUGAAUUAAUUAGUUAAUUAAAUUAAAUUUUAUGGGUUUCUUUUUGAAAAAAAAAUUUUUUUUUUUUUGAAUUUAGAAGGUCAGUGAGUACAACAAAGUUACCAGAAUAGUUUGGAUUUCAGGCAGCCGAACUUUGUUACCUGCAAAGGAAAGCUGAAACCCAGGGGCUGUUUUUCCACCCUGGAGACUUGGCAGGCAGUGGAGUGCCCCGGGAAAAGGCUGGGGAUGUGUGUGUGGGUUUAUUGGUUAUAGCAGAGGUGGUGUGAGCUGAAAUCUAGAUGAACAGCAUUAAAAUGUUUAAAGCUUACAAGAGGUAUGUCUGGGCAUUUUGGAACUUGAGAGGGUGGUAUCUGUAAUACUUUGUUCAUUGUGGAAAUAUUAGAACACACACAUAAACAAAAAUAUUUAAAUCUUUCCACACUCAGACAUUAUGGCUACUGACAAUGGUGCAUUUAAUUCUACAAUAGUGGCGAUUCUUUUAUAGAUACUCUUUUUCCAAAAGUAGAUCAUAUCACAUUUACAAAGUUUAUAUAACCUGGUGUUUUUUUUUAUUAAUAACACAUUAUAAAUAUCUGUCCAUCUCAAUAAAUAUGUUUAAUGAAA